rnacentral:lncRNA from 1 species
CCUGAGAGCACAAAAGAGAUCAUCAGGGGAAGGUGUCUGCCCCAGAUGUCAUAGAAACCCCCGGGAGCCAGAAUUGCCAUUUGAAGCGGCUCUGGAAGGAAGCGUGGUUUCCCUAGGUGGAGAACGGGCGCUUCGGUGUAUGCAAAGAGAUCUGCAGGGGCAUGAACCCAGCUGCCCAUGGCUGUCCCUGGGCCUCCCCUUUAGUGAGAAGAUGAGAGACUGCAGACAACAGUAGGUAUUACAUUACAAUACAAGACAUCAUAUUAGCCCAAUUUCAUGAUUGAGGAAAAUGAGCAACAGAGAAGUCAAGUGCCUUGAUGAGGUCACACAGCCAGGAAGUAGCAGAGGUGGGGUUUGGAUACCAGCAGGCUAGCUGCACGGCCCCUGCUUUGAAGCACUUAUGAAAACUGCC